rnacentral:tRNA from 1 species
AAUCCGUCGAUUUAAAAAAUCGUGAGGGUUCAAGUC